GGCGCUAUAGUGUAGUGGUUAUCACUCGAGAUUCUGACCUCUUGGAAGCUUCUCGAAACCCAGGUUCGAACCCUGGUAGCGCCU